AUACAGUGAUGAUUGCAUAGUUCAGCAGAUUAUACUGUGACGAAUAAACUGUCUUUCGCUCCUAUCUGACGUGUCA
rnacentral:snoRNA from 1 species